rnacentral:tRNA from 1 species
CUGUAGCUCAGUUGGCAGAGCAGCGGACUUUUAAUCCGUGGGUCCUGGGUUCGAGCCCCAGUGG